rnacentral:rRNA from 1 species
UACGUAGGGGGCAAGCGUUGUCCGGAAUUAUUGGGCGUAAAGAGCGUGUAGGCGGUCCGGUAAGUCAGCUGUGAAAGUCAAGGGCUCAACCCUUGAAAGCCGGUUGAUACUGUCGGGCUAGAGUCCGGAAGAGGCGAGUGGAAUUCCCGGUGUAGCGGUGAAAUGCGCAGAUAUCGGGAGGAACACCAAUAGCGAAGGCAGCUCGCUGGGACGGUACUGACACUAAGGCGCGAAAGCGUGGGGAGCAAACAGG